UUGGAACAUAUAUGCCUUACUCACUUGAGAAGAGAGAAGGGGGUGGCUUUGAAGCACGGCCUGCUAAAGAGUACAAGGACGAUUAAAUGUUGCCUGAUGAAGGCCUUGUUUCAGCAAUAUACCACCACCACCAUUAGUCUUUCCUCUAUUAAUUAACUGCAUCGGUUUUGUGAUUUGUGUAUAUACAAAUUGUUGUGCUUUCUUAUUAUUAUUAUUAUUUUUUAUGUAGUUAACACAAAAAAGGAUGCAUCCACAUAAUUUUUGGCAGUGACGAUCUAUAAAGUGCAGUGGAUGCAUCCUUUUUUGUGUUAACUAC
rnacentral:misc_RNA from 1 species